GCUUCGGCCCUGAGUAAAGUGGCGCACGGGUGAGUAACACGUAGGUAACCUGCCUCUAAGAUUGGGAUAACAUGUCGAAAGACGUGCUAAUACCGAAUAAGACCACAGUUUCCUCGGAAACAGGGGUCAAAGGUAGCCUCUAUUUAUAAGCUAUCACUUAGAGAUGGGCCUGCGUACCAUUAGCUAGUUGGUAGGGUAACGGCCUACCAAGGCAAAGAUGGUUAGCUGGUCUGAGAGGAUGAUCAGCCACACUGGAACUGAGACACGGUCCAGACUCCUACGGGAGGCAGCAGUGGGGAAUAUUGCGCAAUGGGCGAAAGCCUGACGCAGCAACGCCGCGUGAGUGAUGAAGGCCUUCGGGUCGUAAAGCUCUGUCGGAGGGAACGAAUGUUUCUGAGGUUAACAGCCUCAGGAAGUGACGGUACCCUCAAAGGAAGCACCGGCUAACUCUGUGCCAGCAGCCGCGGUAAUACAGAGGGUGCUAGCGUUGUUCGGAAUCAUUGGGCGUAAAGGGCGUGUAGGCGGUUUGCUAAGUCAUGUGUGAAAUCCCUCGGCUCAACCGGGGAACGACGCAUGAAACUGGCAAGCUAGAGUACCA
rnacentral:rRNA from 1 species